rnacentral:misc_RNA from 1 species
UCACGGUUUCGGGAUAGAUUAAGG